ACCAAGCUUCUGACAGCUACUUAACAGCCUGUGUCAGUGACCGUAGUUCGGUUCUGGGCUUGACAUGUUGCAUUGUUUGACCCCGAGCCGACGGCUGCUGUCUCACCGGCAUUGCCUUCUGCAGUGUCGCCGCGUUAAAUCGGAAAACACCGCCAAAAGUGCUGCUCUGGACAGUGUGCUCUCUUCAUUCAGGUCUAUAUGUGGUGAGGACGCCAUCUCAUUGGGUCAGGCUGUCAGAGAGCAACACGGCAAAGAUGAGUCUGUGCACAGAUGUUGUCCCCCAGAUGUGGUGGUGUUUCCUCGUUGCGUGGAGGAGGUAAGCGCCCUGGCCAAGGUCUGCAACAACCACCACCUUCCCAUCAUCCCCUUUGGCACUGGAACUGGCCUGGAGGGAGGGGUCAGUGCAGUCAAGGGUGGUGUGUGCUUCAGUCUGAGGAACAUGGACCAGGUUCUGGAUCUCCACCAGGAGGAUUUUGACGUGACGGUGGAGCCUGGUGUGACUCGGAAGGCCCUCAAUGCCUACCUGCGAGACACCGGCCUGUGGUUUCCUGUUGAUCCUGGGGCCGAUGCAUCUCUGUGUGGAAUGGCUGCCACUAGUGCGUCUGGUACCAAUGCAGUGCGCUAUGGAACUAUGAGGGAAAAUGUUGUAAACCUGGAGGUUGUGCUGGCUGAUGGGACCAUCAUACACACAGCUGGGAAGGGCCGACGCCCCAGGAAAACAGCAGCAGGCUACAAUCUCACAAACCUGUUUGUGGGGUCAGAGGGCACCCUGGGGAUCAUCACUAAAACUACCUUGCGCCUAUACGGCAUCCCAGAGGCCAUGGUGUCGGCCGUGUGCUCUUUUCCCUCUGUAGAGGCUGCUGUAGACAGCACAGUGCAGAUCUUACAGGCAGGAGUACCCAUCGCUCGCAUCGAGUUUCUGGAUGAUGUGAUGAUUGAUGCGUGCAACAGGUUCAGCUCUCUGUCCUAUCCUGUGACCCCAACUCUGUUCCUGGAGUUCCAUGGCUCGAAGCAAAGCCUCGAGGAACAAGUCAACAUAACCGAGUACAUCACUCAGAGUAAUGCUGGUUCCGAUUUUCAGUGGGCUAGAGAUUCAGAAACACGGAACAAAUUGUGGAAAGCUCGUCAUGACGCCUGGUACGCUGCUCUGGCUCUGAGACCUGGCUGUAAGGCCUACGCUACAGAUGUGUGUGUCCCUCUGUCUCGCCUGCCUCAAAUCAUUGUGGAGACAAAGGAGGACCUGAUUGAGAACAGACUAACCGGUCCCAUAGCGGGUCACGUGGGUGAUGGUAACUUCCACUGUUUAAUGGUGGUGGACCCCAGUGACCCAAAGGAGCUGCACAGGGUCCACCUCUUCACUGAGAGACUGGCCAGGCGAGCCUUGGCCAUGAAUGGUACAUGUACAGGGGAGCACGGAGUGGGCUUAGGAAAGAGAGCACUAUUGUGUGAAGAGAUGGGACCCAUGGCUGUCCAGGUCAUGCAGACACUCAAGGAUGGCCUCGACCCAAAGAACCUGAUGAAUCCUGGGAAAAUUCUUCAGCCGAGACAACUAUAAAGAUCUUGAGCCUGAGGGGGAGUCACUAAUCACAGAGAAUCUCAUCAUCGCCAUUCAUGGCUUGAUCACAGAUUAAUGUCACAGGAAGUAUUUGCUGUAAAAACAGGACGUCUGGAUGAGACAAACAGGGACAGAUCACUCAAGUGAAAACUGAUAUCAGUACGAAGACAUGUUAUGUAACAUGGGGCAUGUGGGAUUGUACAUAAAUCUGAUGGUUUUAUUGUUAGUGCAUCUGCCUUCUAAUGCACCAUGUGGUCACCAAAGGGACAAUUAAUCCCAAAAUCAAAAAUACAUAUUUUCCCUCUUACCUGUAGUGCUAUUUAUCAACCUAGAUUGUUUUGGGGUGAGUUGCGUAGUGUUGGAGAUAUUGGUCCUCUCUCCAAUAUAAUGGAACUGGAUGGCACUCGUUUUGUGGUGCUCAAAGCAGCAAAAACUAGAUUUAAAAACUCAACAGCAAUGUCUCUUUCCAGAAAUCAUGAUCCAGUUAGGGACUAUUCCUUAUUUAAAAAGGGGGAGGGGAUGGUGCAAAAGGAGGGAGGCAUGUCAAACAAUAUUUUUAAGCACUGGGGAGAAACUUAGAAUAGCUCUGUUUUGUAUUUAUUUUAUUACCAAUAAAUAAAGAAAACGUGCCUUCCGAACCAGAAACUGUAAAAACAUAAAUUGUCUUUGAAUUUUCAAAUUUCCGAUCGUUCUUGAACACAUCAUGUGUGAUGAAUAUUUCCGGCAGGGGGGAAAAAAACAAAACAUUACCAAGUCUGAGUUUAAAAUUGUGAUAUUUCAUUAAAAUCACUUUAUUCUACGUCUCAUUUAAAAUUUGGCCAAAAAUUAAUUGUUUGCAUGAACUAACAGGCAUGCAUGACAACUGUGAAAAAACGAAGCCUUUUUCCACUCCAGGAUUUAGUCUUCAACUUUUCACUUUUAACUUUCAGAAAUCAAAGGGUAAGUUUUAAAAAUCUAAUUACUAAUUGAUGGUGAUUGAUGGUCAUGCAUUUUGUACCUUAGGGAGGCUCAAGAAAAAAUAUUUGGGGUCGAAAAAAACCCCCAAAGUCACACAUAAGCCACCCAUCUCCUCUGAUAAAUAAGGACAGUCCCUUUCUCAAGAUAAUCCACAGACCAUGUGAGCAGUUUAAUGUAGGAACUGUUUUCUUUCUACCAAAUUACACCCGCCAUCCAUAUCACAUGCAGAUAAAAGCAUGCAUUUACUCAUGGUGGUCCUGACAGCGUGAAAUGUAAACCAUCCUCCUCAACUGAGCUGUAAUGUUAGCUAGGUCAGUGAGCAAGCAGAUGAGCUGGUGUGAUCUGUCACUUUAAUAAUACCCUCUUUUUCAGGUUGGAAAACAAUACGUAUCUGAUCUAAGUGAAUCAAGAGCACUUCAUGCUAACACUAUGUAUAUACAAGAACUUGUAUUCAAAUGAGGAUCGCUGAUAAUAAUUGCUUGUUCCCUUUUAACUGCCAAUAACAAUAGCAAAAUAAACAACCAGCAAUUGAAUCAUUUCAACCUGACAUUGGUUUUUUGUUUGUGCAUAUUGAGAUAAAUGAUUAUUUAUAAACAAGCAAAAAUACAAAUCAUUGCAGAUUUGCUACUUUCCCCUGUUUUAUAUUUCUGUCAGCGAGCCAGGCCAGCUGCUUCCCCCCGCUUCUAGUUUGGAAGUAUGCUAAGCUAAGCUAACUGUCUCCUUGGUCCAGCUUAACAUUUAAUGGACAGCUAUGAUAUCUAACUCUGGAAAGAGUGAAUUAGUGUAUCUUUGCACAGUUUGGGUAACUGUUCCCACUUCCUAA